rnacentral:rRNA from 1 species
GAUGAACGCUGGCGGCGUGCCUAACACAUGCAAGUCGAACGGGGUUAUGAGGAACAGAGACUUCGGUCAAAGAGAAUUAUAACCUAGUGGCGGACGGGUGAGUAACGCGUGGGGAACCUGCCCUGUACCGGGGGAUAACAGUGAGAAAUCACUGCUAAUACCGCAUAAGCGCACAGUACCGCAUGGUACAGUGUGAAAAACUCCGGUGGUACAGGAUGGACCCGCGUUGGAUUAGCCAGUUGGCGGGGUAACGGCCCACCAAAGCGACGAUCCAUAGCCGGCCUGAGAGGGUGAACGGCCACAUUGGGACUGAGACACGGCCCAGACUCC